rnacentral:rRNA from 1 species
CCGUAGUGGCGGACGGGUGAGUAACGCGUGGGUAACCUGCCUCAUACAGGGGGAUAACGGUUAGAAAUGACUGCUAAUACCGCAUAAGCGCACAGUACCGCAUGGUACGGUGUGAAAAACUCCGGUGGUAUGAGAUGGACCCGCGUCUGAUUAGCUAGUUGGUGGGGUAACGGCCCACCAAGGCGACGAUCAGUAGCCGACCUGAGAGGGUGACCGGCCACAUUGGGACUGAGACACGGCCCAA